CGGACGAACGCUGGCGGCGUGCUUAACACAUGCAAGUCGAACGGUGACGAGGAGCUUGCUCCUCUGAUCAGUGGCGAACGGGUGAGUAACACGUGAGCAACCUGCCCCAGACUCUGGGAUAACAGUUGGAAACAGCUGCUAAUACCGGAUACGAGACGGAGAGGCAUCUCUACCGUCUGGAAAGUUUUCGGUCUGGGAUGGACUCGCGGCCUAUCAGCUAGUUGGUGAGGUAAUGGGCUCACCAAGGCGACGACGGGUAGCCGGCCUGAGAGGGCGACCGGCCACACUGGGACUGAGACACGGCCCAGACUCCUACGGGAGGCAGCAGUGGGGAAUAUUGCACAAUGGGCGAAAGCCUGAUGCAGCGACGCCGCGUGAGGGAUGACGGCCUUCGGGUUGUAAACCUCUUUCAGCAGGGAAGAAGCGAAAGUGACGGUACCUGCAGAAGAAGCACCGGCUAACUACGUG
rnacentral:rRNA from 1 species